rnacentral:rRNA from 1 species
GUGUCAGCCGCCGCGGUAAUACGUAGGGUGCGAGCGUUAAUCGGAAUUACUGGGCGUAAAGCGUGCGCAGGCGGUUCGUUGUGUCUGCUGUGAAAGCCCCGGGCUCAACCUGGGAAUGGCAGUGGAAACUGGCGAGCUGGAGUGUGGCAGAGGGGGGUGGAAUUCCAGGUGUAGCAGUGAAAUGCGUAGAGAUCUGGAGGAACACCGAUGGCGAAGGCAGCCCCCUGGGCUGACACUGACGCUCAGGCACGAAAGCGUGGGGAGCAAACAGGAUUAGAAACCCCCGUAGUCC